rnacentral:rRNA from 1 species
GAUGAACGCUGGCGGCGUGCCUAAUACAUGCAAGUCGAGCGAACGGACGAGAAGCUUGCUUCUCUCAUGUUAGCGGCGGACGGGUGAGUAACACGUGGAUAACCUACCUAUAAGACUGGGAUAACUUCGGGAAACCGGAGCUAAUACCGUAUAAUAUUUUGAACCGCAUGGUUCAAAAGUGAAAGACGGUCUUGCUGUCACUUAUAGAUGGAUCCGCGCUGCAUUAGCUAGUUGGUAAGGUAACGGCUUACCAAGGCAACGAUGCAUAGCCGACCUGAGAGGGUGAUCGGCCACACUGGAACUGAGACACGGUCCAGACUCCUACGGGAGGCAGCAGUAGGGAAUCUUCCGCAAUGGGCGAAAGCCUGACGGAGCAACGCCGCGUGAGUGAUGAAGGUCUUCGGAUCGUAAAACUCUGUUAUUAGGGAAGAACAUAUGUGUAAGUAACUGUGCACAUCUUGACGGUACCUAAUCAGAAAGCCACGGCUAACUACGUG